UACGGGGGGGGCAAGCGUUGUUCGGAAUUACUGGGCGUAAAGGGCUCGUAGGCGGCCAACUAAGUCAUACGUGAAAUCCCUCGGCUUAACCGGGGAACUGCGUCUGAUACUGGAUGGCUUGAGAUUGGGAGAGGGAUGCGGAAUUCCAGGUGUAGCGGUGAAAUGCGUAGAUAUCUGGAGGAAUACCGGUGGCGAAGGCGGCAUCCUGGACCGAUAUUGACACUGAUGAGCGAAAGCCAGGGGAGCAAACGGG
rnacentral:rRNA from 1 species